rnacentral:tRNA from 1 species
GCGGGAUUAGUACAGUGGUAGUACGCUUGCUUCCCAAGCAAGAGACACGAGUUCGAUUCUCGUAUUCCGCUCUA